ACACUGGCCAGGAAAAACUGUUAAUUCUUCUUAGAGCAGUAUCAGCUGGCAAUCUGAAGAGUCUGUGUCCCACAGCAGAGUUGAGUUGAGAAGAGUGGCUCUGGAGCCAAGAGACAAUGCUUUGAGAGCCAGCACAGAGGAAUAAAACCUGCCUUUCUAUUUAUUUGGCUUGGCUUCCUACAUCACCUCCAAAAGGUAGAUAUUUCACAAAUUUCCUCGUUCUUGAGAUUGUUUGAUCUAGAGAAGAUGAAGAAAUGGCCCACAUCACAGCAUGCUCUGGGGAUCAUUAAUCAAAAGGUCAACUGUGAGCUAUCUUAGAGGAUGGGCCCACAUUGUAUCCUAUCUCUUCGCUGACACCUGAUAUAUGAUACGGGACCCAUACCAGAAAGUCAGCCCUAGAAGAAACAAUAGAAAUGCCUUCUGGACAGUUUCAUCUCUUCCUUGGAAGCCUUCCUUAAAGAGCCGCAUGAGAGAAGUCAUGUGCACACAAUUGUUCUUCCAAAAGGAUUUGGCAAAAAAACCUCCAGGAGCCAUCCAGUGACAUCAUCUGUACCUGGCAUCCAGCUGUCAACAUUGGCAUGACUCAAUGGGACGGAGUUACCUGAAGCAGAUGAUCCUCCUUCUGAUGUAUCAUCAAAAGGCCAUUAGUAGCCUGACGUUACUUCACAGUGCCUACAUUAUCCACCUCAUUUCAUCUUAUCACUUUGACAUUGUAUCAUCUUACACCAUCACAA